GGUAGGCUACCGAUGUGUAAUAUGUAGUUGUUAUUGUUGCACUCAUGGCAUUAGCCAUGGUUGCACUGUUGCAGCACUCACACUUCUUUAAUUUCCGACUCGCAUAGACACCGCCGAUUGGGUAAGCCGUGAUAACGACGAUACCGCUUCAAAUAAUUAAUGUCUUUUUACGUGAAGAUUGAAAAUUUCGUUUUGGGAGAUCCGAGGAAUACCUAGGUACCUAUAUUAAGAUUUAGUUGUGUAAAAGUAUUUACCAUUUGAAGCUGUUGAUAUGAUUA